UUCCUUAGUUUUCAACACAGAGUGUUAGAAAUACAAACAGUGGUUUAUGAAUUCCAUAGGAUGAGUUCUUCCAGUAAUAGAUUUACCACCGUAAAGUUCUCUCAUUUCUUUUCUGCACAGGAACUCUGAGAGCAAGGAAAAUUGCUCCACUCUAACAGCGAUUCAUUUCAUUGUAUGCUUCUGCCAGCAUGACCCUAAUGAGAAGAAGUCCAGACUUCAGUUUUGGUUUAGAAUUCAGUGACAGUUUGAUUGUGGGCUCAACCUUUUCUACUGCUUUUGGAAGGAGAAUUGCAUGCUGAAUUAAUGAGCGAGAAGAACAGAGCCUUGAGCCUCUUCCAGUAGGAUCCUUUAAAGGAACAAUAGACAUGGAAAACACUGGGAAUCAGUGUCACCCAGGACUUCAUUGAUUUGUUCAGCUCUCUGCUAUGGCCUGGGAAAGCAAUAGAUGGCCCAAGUCCUUGAGCCCAUGCACCUAUGUGGAAGACCUAGAAGAAGCUCCUGGCUCCUGGCUUUGGAUCAACACAGCUCUGGCUGUUGCAGCCAUUUGGGAAAUGAACCAGUGGAUGGAAGACCUCUCUAUCUCUCUCAACUUUGGCUUUCAAAUAAAUAAAAAUAAAUCUUUAAAAAAUAAAUAAAAUAAAACAAUAUCAAUAAUAACUAGUA